rnacentral:rRNA from 1 species
UACAGAGGGUGCAAGCGUUGUUCGGAAUUACUGGGCGUAAAGCGCGUGUAGGCGGUCUGGUAAGUCGGUCGUGAAAUCCCUGGGCUUAACCUAGGAACUGCGAUCGAAACUGUUAGACUAGAGUAUCGGAGGGGAUGGCGGAAUUCCUGGUGUAGAGGUGAAAUUCGUAGAUAUCAGGAGGAACACCUGUGGCGAAGGCGGCCAUCUGGAAGAUUACUGACGCUGAGACGCGAAAGCGUGGGGAGCAAAC